GUGGGCUAUGGUGAUAUUGUACCCAAGACGUACGUGGGAAUGUUUGUGGGUGCUCUAUGUGCUCUGGCCGGUGUAUUGACCAUAGCUCUUCCCGUUCCCGUCAUUGUUAGCAAU
rfam:Phlebotomus papatasi Contig1278.1, whole genome shotgun sequence.